GCCCCGAUAGCUCAGUGGAUAGAGCGUCUGCCUCCGGAGCAGAAGGUCGCUGGUUCGAGUCCAGUUCGGGGCG
rnacentral:tRNA from 1 species